rnacentral:rRNA from 1 species
AUUGAACGCUGGCGGAAUGCUUUACACAUGCAAGUCGAACGGCAGCACGGGGGAAGCCCUGGUGGCGAGUGGCGAACGGGUGAGUAAUACAACGGAACGUGCCCGGUCGUGGGGGAUAACGUAGCGAAAGUUACGCUAAUACCGCAUACGAUCUGAGGAUGAAAGCGGGGGACCUUCGGGCCUCGCGCGAUCGGAGCGGCCGAUGUCAGAUUAGGUAGUUGGUGGGGUAAAGGCCUACCAGGCCGACGAUCGGUAGCUGGUCUGAGAGGACGACCAGCCACACUGGGACUGAGACACGGCCCAGACUCCUACGGGAGGCAGCAGUGGGGAAUUUUGGACAAUGGGCGCAAGCCUGAUCCAGCCAUUCCGCGUGCAGGACGAAGGCCUUCGGGUUGUAAACUGCUUUUGUACGGAACGAAAAGGCUCUGGCUAAUACCUGGGGCUCAUGACGGUACCGUAAGAAUAAGCACCGGCUAACUACGUG